rnacentral:rRNA from 1 species
AUGCCCUAUUCCGGGCUCUGCUUGCUUGGCACCGGGGAGCCAAGUACAUUUGCUGAAGCUGAGAAACAAGCAUGUUGGCAGAGAGCUAUGAAGGAAGAGAUGGAUUCUAUUGUCAGUAAUAAUACAUGGAAGAUGUGUGAGUUGCCGAAAGGACAAAAACCAAUUGGGUUAAAAUGGAUCUAUAAGCUUAAGAAGGACUCAUCUAGAAAUGUGGUGAAACACAAAGCUCGGCUAGUUGCGAAGGGGUACGUGCAGCGUCAAGGAAUUGAUUUUGACGAAGUUUUCGCACCUGUUGCAAGGAUGGAAACCGUGAGACUGCUUCUAGCACUAGCAGCAAAUGAGGGCUGGGAAAUUCACCACAUGGAUGUAAAAUCCGCAUUUCUCAACGGUGAACUCGAGGAAGAGGUAUAUGUUGCACAGCCGUCAGGUUUCGUUGUUGAGGGAGAGGAGCACAAGGUGCUUAAGCUGCACAAGGCCUUAUAUGGGCUCAGACAGGCACCUAGGGCAUGGAAUGCUAAACUAGAUAGGACACUGAUCAAUCUCGGCUUUGAGAAGUGUCCAUCAGAGCCAGCUCUCUACAAGCGAAACAAAAAGGGUGCAGCACUGUUAGUCGGUGUGUACGUGGAUGAUUUAGUCAUUACUGGAAGAAAUGUUGCUGACAUUGAAGCCUUCAAGGUUCAGAUGAAAUCAUUAUUCAGUAUGAGCGAUCUCGGGCUACUGAGUUAUUACCUGGGAAUUGAGGUAAAGCAAACUCCUCAAGGUAUUUAUCUGAACCAAUCCGCGUAUGCAUCAAGAAUUUUGGAGAAAUGUGGAAUGAAAGACUGCAACCCUGGUCAAACUCCAAUGGAGCCCCGUCUGAAGUUGAGCAAGAUGAGCAAGGCCCCAGUAGUUGAUUGCACUUACUAUCGAAGCGUGGUGGGCAGUCUCAGAUAUCUGCUGCACACAAGGCCUGACCUGUGCUACUCUGUUGGUCUUGUAAGCAGGUACAUGGAGCGACCAACAGCAGAGCAUAUGACUGCAGUGAAACACAUCCUCAGGUACAUCAGGGGAACACUGAAGUUUGGGUGUUUCUAUGAGAAGGGAAGAGAACUGCAGCUAGUUGGCUACUGUGAUAGUGACCAUGCAGGAGAUGUGGACGACAGGAAAAGCACCUCAGGUCUGUUGUUCUACCUUGGUUCAAGUCCAAUUUCAUGGGCAUCACAGAAGCAAAAAGUGGUUGCCAUCUCGUCUUGUGAGGCUGAAUAUAUGGCAGCUACUUCAGGUGCUUGUCAGAGUAUUUGGUUGGCAAGAUUGCUGGCAGAAAUACUAGAUUCAGAGCCAGCCAAAGUGAAACUGAAAGUGGACAAUCAAUCUGCUAUUUCACUCAGUAAGAACCCAGUUUUUCAUGACCGCAGUAAACACAUUGACCUCAGAUAUCAUUUCGUGCGGGAGUGUGUGGAGGCUGGGAAAGUGGACAUCAGUCAUGUCAGAACAGAGGAUCAAUUGGCAGACAUCCUGACCAAGUCGCUCGGGAGGGCAAAGUUUCAGGAGCUGAGGAGUGCCAUUGGUGUGAAGGAAGUGACCCGAUGA